rnacentral:lncRNA from 1 species
UUGUAUACCAUGUGGACCAGUUUGCAAGCACAUGCGAUGCAGGUUUGAAAUAAGCAAAAUAAAGACCCAAGAAUUAAGACGCAUUAAUUUGGUCUGAAUGAAGCUUCUGUUCUCGAGUAGGAACCUUGUUCUAAAUUUGGACCGAACCAAAUAAACAUUUCUUUUGUAAAUGGUUACGUACCUUGAGCUUUUAUGACUCGUAGUACGUACUUUAACAUGCGCAUGGCUGUAGACAAUUCAUUUCCCACGAAAUUCAAGGUGGCAUCAUGAAAUGUUAAACCCUAAGGCUGCGUUUGGUUCGGGUAUAAGUAAGAACUGCUAGUUUUAGGAAUAGGUACAAGUUCAGGUAUAAGCAGGAACUAGACCAAUUUUGCGUUUGGAUGAAAAUUGAGUUGUUCCUAGGAAUAAGGUAAAUAGUGUUUGGAUGAUUAGAUUGGAACAAGAGGAAUAAGCGUUAUAAUUUGAAAUUAAAAUUAUAUUAUGUAAUUAAUUAACAUAAAAAUAUUACUUAAAAAUAAAUAAAAAUUAAUUAUUAAUAAUUAAUUAUAAAUAAUAAUUAUUAAUAAUAAUUAAUUAUAAAUAAUAAAUUAAUAAUAACAACGAUUAUCUAAUUAUUAAGAAUAAUAAUUAUUAAUUAAUUAUUAAUAAAUAAUAAUAUUAAUUAUUAAUUAUUAAUUAUAAAUAAUAUAUUAAUAAUAAUAUCGAUUAUCAUUAAGAAUAAUAAUUAUUAAUAAUUAUUAAUAAAAAAUUAAUAAAUAUUAUUAAUUAUUAAUAAUUAAUUAUAAAUAAUAAAUUAUUUAAUUAUUUAAUUAUUAAAAUAAUAAAUAAUAAUUUAAAUAUAUUAAUUAGAUUAAUUAAUAAUUUACUGCGAUUAAAAUUAAAUUUAGAUUUUAAUUAAUCUUGUUCUCAUCAAGGAACAAGCUUGUUCCAGAAAACGGGUGGAACAGCAGUUCCAGCCUUAUACCAGCUAGUUCUAGAUUUCCGGGAACUACUGUUCCCGGGAGCCAAACAUAGCGUUUGGGAACAAAGGGGAGAACAAGGGCUUAUUCCCCCCCUUGUUCCCCAACCAAACGCUACCUAAGUUAGCCCCUUUUUUUCUUUUUUUCUUUUAGAGAAAGAUAGCAUUUCUAUAUAUCCGCUUAUCAGGUAUUAAUCAUCAAAUAUUUUAUCACUUACGAUAGAGAUAGUGGGUACCAAAAGAUUAAUGUAAUUAAUGAUAAAUUUAGAAAUAUAUUUAACACUUCUAUUCAUAUAUAUGUUGAAUUUCAAAAGGUACUUAAUAUUGAUAUAUAAGAUAAGAGAUAAAGAUUUAAACUAUAUAUGAUGCAGAAAUUUAAUUAAAUCAUUUUAAUGUU